rnacentral:lncRNA from 1 species
UCUCUCUCUUGUUCUUAAUCUCCAAUCUCUUUAAUUCUCAGAUUAGGCUUAAUCACUCUUUAAAUCACCAAAUCUAAUAAGAAUGACAAAGAAGCUGUCAUAUUCCCAAACAGGAAAACUGGGAUCACCUGAUUUGAAAGUGGGAUAGCUUCUUCAUCCUAACUCCUAUAAGUUUUAUUCAGCUUCCUGGUGAUUCUCCACUACUUUAUGUUUCAAAAUCAAGCUUCUUACAUCGCGACUCAUCCUGGUUUGAUUAGAAUGACAAAGAAGCUGUCAUAUUCCCAAACAGGAAAACUGGGAUCACCUGAUUUGAAAGUGGGAUAGCUUCUUCAUCCUAACUCCUAUGAGAUUUAUUCAGCUUCCUGGUGAUUCUCCACUACUUUAUGUAUCAAAAUCAAGCUUCUUACAUCGCAAUUCAUCCUGGUUUGAUUAGAAUUGUUGAGAUGAGAGAAUAAAGAGUUGAUAUAUUGAGAGGGGAAGAGAGUUGGAGCAGACAGUAACUUUGGAGUUUUACUGUGGUAACUUUAGUUUAACCACAGUAACUACUUGGGAAGUUAUCUGAUGAGAUGAGAAGGUAACUUAGUGAAGAGAAGAGAGUAGACUCGACCAAAGAGGAUAAGGAAGGAUAAGGGAGCAGUUUGACAGCCUGUAUGAUGCUGGAAAGGAGAGGAUGCUUUUCUACUAGUGCAAGCAUGUGAGAAAGCACAGCCAAGUGAUUCAAAAGGAGUUCCAGCCUGUCCUUUGACUACACAUGCUUAUACAUUUCGAAAUUACUUGUUGCUCUCUCUUUAUAUACUUGUAAACCCUCAUCAGUAUUAAUUAAUAGAGUUUUGAGUCUCUCUCUCUUAAGUCUCUCUCUUGUUCUUAAUCUCCAAUCUCUUUAAUUCUCAGAUUAGGCUUAAUCACUCUUUAAAUCACCAAAUCUAAUAUGGUAUCAGAGCCAGGUUCCCUUAAAAGGAGAGAGUGAUUUCGUUUUUCUAAAUGUUCUUGAGUGUUCUUGAGAGUUCUUGAGGUUUUUCAAGAGCUAGAUCCUUUAAAAGUCAAGUUUGUGUCUGUUGGUGUUUCUUUUGGAGAGUCAGCUUCAAGGGAGUCCCUUUAGGUGUUUGACAAGGUCAGAAGAUGGGUCUAGCUUGUGGUUCAGCAAGGCGUGAAGAGAAGGAAGAGUCUUUGAAGGGUAAAGCUGCUGAGAAAGAUCAGACAGCAAGAGAAACAAGUGGAAAUUGCUUUAGUCUUGAAGAAAGUACACUGCCUGAGAAGAUUGAAGAUGUUUAUGAGAACAAGAUCAGUCUUAGGAGAGUGUAUGAAGUCAAGAAGGUGAUUAGUGGAGGUAAACCAGGAAGAGAAGAGUUCAAUAACCAUGUGAGGAAGCUACAACAUUUGUGGGUUGAACUACAAGGGUUGAGAUCCCAUGUGGAUGGGGAUGCUACACAAGAGCAAGAGACGGUCUUGAAGCUCUUGGAGAGCAUGGAGUCAUCAUAUGGGUGGCUGGUAGAGAUGGUUCUAAGAGGGGAACAGCUUCCGGAAAUGGAAGAGAUUUGUGGGCUUAUAAGAAGGGCGUAUGAGAUAAUGAGAGAUGAUGAGAGGCUAACCAUGAGUAGGAGUGAGAGCUCAUGGAAGCCAACUGGGAGUAGGAGUGAGAGCUUCCAGAAGCUAACCAUGAGUAGGAGUGAGGGCUCAUGGAGGCUAACCGGGAGUAGGAGUGAGGGCUUCCGGAAGAAGAGAAGGUGCAGAAUGCUAUCCAAAGCUUCUAUCAACAUAGGAAAGGGUAGAAAGAGAGUUGUGGGAGAGUGUUCUUACUCAGCCUACAUGGGGGAAUCAGUAGAAGACAGUGGGGUGUUAAGAGAGCAGGAGAAAGGGAGUGGAGCUGAUGAUCGCAUCACCAGGAAGGAAUGGAGAGUGUUCAUGGAACAUGUACAAGCCUUAACAGCAAGCAAGAAGCAUGCUAUACAAUCCGGAGCUUCUAAACCCAUGGUGAUUGAUUCUGGAGCAAGUCAUCAUAUGAUCAGUGAUAGGAGGCUUAUAAGUGAGAUCAAGGCUGCAACAGGGAGUGUUAGGAUAGCUAAUGGUGCUAUGAUCCCAAUAGAAGGAGUGGGAAAGCUCAAACUGUUUGAGAAGGACACGGCUGCCUUCUACAUGCCUCAGUUCACUUCAAAUCUAUUAUCUGUGAAGAAAGCUACCAUUGAUCUUGAUUGUCAAGUAGUAUUCAGACCUGAUGAAGUUGAGUUUCAAGAUUUGAAGACUGGGAGAGUCAUUGGCAGAGGAGACAGCAAAAAUCAGCUAUACCACCUCGACUUGGCUAAGACCUCUAAUCCCUUUGAUUCUAUUUGCUUGAGUAGUACUGCUGAGAAGAUUGAUAGUAUUACUUGGCAUGCUAGAUUAGGACAUCCUCAUGCUCGUGCCAUUGAAUUGAUAAUCCCUAAUAUGUCAUUCAAUCACUUGGAUUGUGAAGCAUGCAUAUUAGGAAAGCAUUGUAGGACUGUUUUCCCAACAUCUAAGACUACUUAUGAGCAUUGCUUUGAUCUAGUUCACUCGGAUGUGUGGACCGCUCCAUGCAUGUCUAGAGACAGCCAUAAAUACUUUGUGACAUUCAUUGAUGAGAAGUCUAAGUAUACAUGGCUCACAUUGCUUCCAUCUAAAGAUAAGGUGCUAGAAGCGUUUAUGAACUUCCAAGCAUAUGUAUCUAAUCAAUACAAUGCUACUGUGAAGGUACUGAGAUCAGACAACGGAGGUGAAUACAUCAGCAAUGCCUUCAAGAGUCAUCUAGCCAAGCAUGGGAUUGUGCAUCAGACCAGUUGUCCCUACACACCACAGCAGAAUGGUGUAGCUGAGAGGAAGAAUAGGCACUUGAUGGAGGUUGCUAGGUCGAUGAUGUUUCAUGCAAAUGUCCCAAAAAGAUUUUGGGGAGAUGCUGUUCAGACUGCUUGCUACCUCAUCAACCGGGUCCUAACCAAGAUACUGAAGAAUCUGUCUCCAUUUGAGGUGCUGAAUAAGAGCAAGCCUUUUAUUGAUCACCUACGAGUAUUUGGGUGUGUAUGCUAUGUCAUGACUCCAGGAGAACAGAGAAACAAGCUGGAGGCAAAGAGUACUAAGGCAAUGUUUAUUGGAUACUCUAUCACUCAGAAGGGAUACAAGUGCUAUGAUCCUGAAGCAAGGAGAGUGAUGGUAUCUAGAGAAGUGAAGUUUAUUGAAUCCAAAGGGUAUUAUGAAGAAAAGGAGUGGGAAAAUCUGAAGGAUUUGUCUCAAGCUCCAUCUGAUAGAGCAACAACACUGAGGGUGCUGUUGGAGAAGCUAGGGAUAGGGUUAUCCCAGGAUCAGGAAUCUGGAAGAAGAGAGUCUUCCAAUCCCACUAGUGAAGCUGAAAGAACAACUCCUCUUGAUCAUGAGAGGGGGAAUGGAACUGAAUCUCAUGAGCAAGUGCACAAUCAAGAAGAUUCAGGCCAGCAUAAUCAAGAGGUGACACAGGAAGUAGAGAGUGGUGCUCAGUCUAGUGGAGAUGGGCAAAGAGAGUCUACUGGCUCAGAUGAGAGUGGUACUCAGUCUAGUGGAGAUUGGGAAGUAGAUCCUGAUGGGUCAAAUGAGAGUGGUGCUCAAUCAAGUGAAGAUAGGCAAGAAACACAAGAAGAACAAGUUCAGGAGCUAAGGAGGAGCACAAGGGUGAGAAGAGAUGCUUCCAACUGGGUAAACACGAGAGUGUACUACAAUGCCCAGGCUGUGGAGCAUCCUUCUCAAGCUAUGUGUUCCUUUGCAGAGUUUCCGGGACGAUCAUAUAGCCUUCACAGUAAGCUUGGAUGAGAGCUAUAUUCCAAGGACAUAUGAAGAAGCUAUGGCUUUAAAGGAGUGGAGAGAUUCAGUUGCUGAUGAGUCCGGAGCCAUGAUUAAGAAUGAAACAUGGUAUGAGAGUGAGCUGCCUAAAGGGAAGAAGGCAGUGACUAGUAAAUGGGUGUUCACAAUCAAGUUUCAUCCUGAUGGAAGAAUAGAGAGGCGCAAGUCUAGGUUGGUGGCAAGAGGAUUUACUCAGACAUAUGGUGAGGACUAUGUUGAGACCUUUGCUCCUGUGGCUAAACUUCAUACUAUCAGGAUUGUAUUAUCUUUAGCUGUGAAUCUUGAGUGGGAUUUGUGGCAAAUGGAUGUGAAGAAUGCAUUCCUUCAAGGAGAGUUGGAAGAUGAAGUAUACAUGCAUCCACCACCAGGUCUUGAACAUCUAGUAAAGAAGGGUAAUGUGUUGAGGUUGAGGAAAGCUAUCUAUGGUCUCAAGCAGUCUCCAAGGGCGUGGUACAACAAGUUGAGUACUACACUGAAUGGGAGAGGGUUCAGAAAGUCAGAAUUGGAUCACACUCUCUUUACCCUAACCACCUCAUCUGGUAUUGUGGUAUUGCUUGUGUAUGUGGAUGAUAUCAUCAUCACAGGCAGUGAUAAGGAAGGCAUCAAGGCUACAAAGGAGUAUCUCAAGGCAAGCUUUGAGAUUAAAGACUUGGGGGAAAUGAAGUAUUUUCUUGGGAUUGAGAUAUGCAGAUCAAAGGAAGGAUUGUUUAUGUCUCAAAGGAAGUAUGUGAUUGAUCUAUUGAAGGGAGCAGAUGCCUAUGGAGGAAAGACAGCCAAGAUGCCAAUGGAGGAUGGUUACAAGGUUCCACGUGAGGGGGAGAUUGAGGAUAGCAAGCCAUUCCAUGAUCCUAAGCUUUAUAGGAAGCUAGUGGGGAAGUUGAUUUAUCUUACCAUUACUAGACCUGAUGUGUGCUUUGCGGUGAAUCAAGUUAGUCAACACAUGCAAGUUCCUAAGGAGCACCACUGGCGGAUGGUGGAAAGGAUCUUGAUGUAUCUGAAUGGAACUACUGGUCUUGGAGUAUGGAUGGGAUGUAACAAGAGUACUGAGGUUGUAGGCUACUGUGAUGCAGAUUGGGCUGGGGACCGAGCAGAUAGAAGAUCAACCACAGGCUAUUGUACAUUCAUUGGUGGUAACUUGGUCACUUGGAAGAGUAAGAAGCAGAAGGUAGUGUCUUGUUCCAGUGCUGAGGCCGAGUAUAGAGCAAUGCUGAAGCUUACAAAUGAGCUAGUGUGGAUAAAAGGGAUUUUGAAGCAUCUGGAGAUUAUUCAAGCAACGCCAAUGACAAUGCAUUGUGAUAAUCAAGCAGCUAUCCACAUUGCAUCUAAUUCUGUGUUCCAUGAGAGAACAAAGCACAUUGAGGUUGAUUGUCACAAGGUGAGGCAGAUGAUGAUUCUUGGGGUGAUUCUACCUUGUUAUACUCGGAGUGAGGAUCAGUUAGCAGAUGUGUUCACAAAGGCAGCAAGGCAAAAGACAAUGGAGUCCAUACACAUCAGGUUAGGACUCAUUGAUCUCUCGCCUAAGGGCUAGUCUAUACACUCUCCUGAUCAUGUGAUCUCUACUCUUUUUCCUCAUUAAGGUUUUGUCCCAAUGGGUUUUCUUUAAUGAGGUUUUAAUGAGGGAGAUCUCAUGGUCCUUCCAAGCUUGACUUGCAUAGGAGUUGGCAAGAAGAAGUUAUCCCACUUUCAAAUCAGGUGAUUCCAGUUUCCCAGUUUGGGAAUAGGACAACUUCCUCGUCGUUCCUAUUAAGCCAGAAUGAAUUGUUGAGAUGAGAGAAUAAAGAGUUGAUAUAUUGAGAGGGGAAGAGAGUUGGAGCAGACAGUAACUUUGGAGUUUUACUGUGGUAACUUUAGUUUAACCACAGUAACUACUUGGGAAGUUAUCUGAUGGGAUGAAAAGGUAACUUAGUGAAGAGAAGAGAGUAAACUCGACCAAAGAGGAUAAGGAAGGAUAAGGGAGCAGUUUGACAGCCUGUAUGAUGCUGGAAAGGAGAGGAUGCUUUUCUACUAGU